GUGGAUUAGAUACCCUGGUAGUCCGCACCGUAAACGAUGUACACUAGGUGUAGGGGCAUGAGUCUCUGUGCCAAAGCUAACGUGAUAAGUGUACCGCCUGGGAAGUAUGCCCGCAAGGGUGAAACUCAAAGGAAUUGACGGGGGCCCGCACAAGCGGUGGAGCAUGUGGUUUAAUUCGAUGGUACGCGAGGAACCUUACCUGGGUUUGACAUCAAGUGGAAUGGUGUAGAGAUACAUCAGCGUAGCAAUACGCCGCUUGACAGGUGCUGCACGGCCGUCGUCAACU
rnacentral:rRNA from 1 species